CAUUAAUGAACCUUUGAGGAUUGAGCUGGUUCUUACAAGUGCUCAUCCUCUUAUCCUUUUAUACACCUGUGCAUCUUUUUCAAGGGAGAGAUUAGUAGGUCGCUUGCGGCUGAAGGUCCUUCCUUUGUUUCUUACAUACACUUUAUUUAAUCAUUGGAAUGUAAUUUAUGAAAAAUAAAAUACAACUUUUAACAACGGAUCUCUUGGCUCUCGCAUCGAUGAAGAACGCAGCGAAAUGCGAUAAGUAAUGUGAAUUGCAGAAUUCAGUGAAUCAUCGAAUCUUUGAACGCACCUUGCGCUCCUUGGUAUUCCGAGGAGCACGCCUGUUCGAGUGUCAUGAAGCUCUCAAGCGAGUCUUUCUUCUUUGCAAAGAGAAGAGGCGAGUUUGGAUUUGAACUUUGCUGUGUAACAAGCGGCUGGUUCUAAAAGUAUUAGCUGAUCCUAGUAAGGCUUGGUUCUACUUGGCGUGAUAAUUAUCUAACGUCAAGGACAUUGUUUCUUCAUUGAAAGAAUGGCCAGGCUCUGAUUAGGAUUGCUUCUAAUCGUCUUCAGUGACAAUUUAUUCCAAAUCUGACCUCGAAUCAGGUGGGACUACCCGCUGAACUUAA
rnacentral:rRNA from 1 species